rnacentral:lncRNA from 1 species
UCAGUUGCUCAACUGACUGAGCCACACAGGCGCCUACUCCCCCACUUUUUAAAAAUGUAUUUUAUAGAAAGAAGAUUUAUUUAUUUUACAGAAAGAGAGAGAGAGAGAGCCUGCAUGACAUUCUUAACACCUGCUCUGCCACCCACUUUCCAGCUUCCUUUGGAAGUCAAGAACUGGGUUCUGAGACCUUCGGUCAGAAGCAUCUAUCCUAAUAGAGAUGGACAGAAAUAAUACCAUGCCUGUGUGGUGAUAGAAGGGAAGCACCAGAAAAAGAAGCCUUCAUAAUGCAAGAGAGAUAAGAAACCAGCCAGACCAAUAUUCUCAAGCAGGCAAGAUCUGAUGAUAUUCAAUGCAAAAUAGAGGAGUUAAGCUUGGAUAGGGACAUGGGCAGUUAGCUCAUAGUGAUGAGAGAGAAA